UUUGGCCAUAUCAUGUUGAAACACCAGUUCCUGUACAAUCACUGAAGUUAAGCAACAUCAAGCCUGGUCAGUAACUAGAUAGGUGACCAUUUGGGAAUACCAAGUGCUGUAA